UACGUAGGGUGCAAGCGUUAAUCGGAAUUACUGGGCGUAAAGCGUGCGCAGGCGGUUUUGUAAGUCUGUCGUGAAAUCCCCGGGCUCAACCUGGGAAUUGCGAUGGAGACUGCAAGGCUAGAAUCUGGCAGAGGGGGGUAGAAUUCCACGUGUAGCAGUGAAAUGCGUAGAGAUGUGGAGGAACACCGAUGGCGAAGGCAGCCCCCUGGGUCAAGAUUGACGCUCAUGCACGAAAGCGUGGGGAGCAAGCAGG
rnacentral:rRNA from 1 species